GGUGCGGUGGCAGAACGGUUAUGCGUGAGCCUGCAAAGCUUAUACAAAGGGGUUCGACUCCCUUCCUCACCU
rnacentral:tRNA from 3 species